rnacentral:rRNA from 1 species
GGUGAACGCUGGCGGCGUGCCUAAUACAUGCAAGUCGAGCGAACAGACGAGGAGCUUGCUCCUCUGACGUUAGCGGCGGACGGGUGAGUAACACGUGGAUAACCUACCUAUAAGACUGGGAUAACUUCGGGAAACCGGAGCUAAUACCGGAUAAUAUAUUGAACCGCAUGGUUCAAUAGUGAAAGACGGUUUUGCUGUCACUUAUAGAUGGAUCCGCGCCGCAUUAGCUAGUUGGUAAGGUAACGGCUUACCAAGGCAACGAUGCGUAGCCGACCUGAGAGGGUGAUCGGCCACACUGGAACUGAGACACGGUCCAGACUCCUACGGGAGGCAGCAGUAGGGAAUCUUCCGCAAAGGGCGAAAGCUUGACGGAGCAACGCCGCGUGAGUGAUGAAGGUCUUCGGAUCGUAAAACUCUGUUAUUAGGGAAGAACAAAUGUGUAAGUAACUAUGCACGUCUUGACGGUACCUAAUCAGAAAGCCACGGCUAACUACGUG